GGACUUAGUGAUCCGGUGGUUCCGCAUGGAAGGGCCAUCGCUCAACGGAUAAAAGCUACCCCGGGGAUAACAGGCUUAUCUCCCCCAAGAGUUCACAUCGACGGGGAGGUUUGGCACCUCGAUGUCGGCUCAUCGCAUCCUGGGGCUGUAGUCGGUCCCAAGGGUUGGGCUGUUCGCCCAUUAAAGCGGUACGCGAGCUGGGUUCAGAACGUCGUGAGACAGUUCGGUCCCUAUCCGUCGUGGGCGUAGGAAAUUUGAGAGGAGCUGUCCUUAGUACGAGAGGACCGGGAUGGACAUACCUCUGGUGUACCAGUUGUCGUGCCAACGGCAUAGCUGGGUAGCUAUGUGUGGACGGGAUAAGUGCUGAAAGCAUCUAAGCAUGAAGCCCCCCCUCAAGAUGAGAUUUCCCAACUUCGGUUAUAAGAUCCCUCAAAGAUGAUGAGGUUAAUAGGUUCGAGGUGGAAGCAUGGUGACAUGUGCAGCUGACGAAUACUAAUCGAUCGAAGACUUAAUCAA
rnacentral:rRNA from 1 species